AAGAGAAAAGUGUGAAAAUUCAAAGAAUCAAGUGACAAAAGAUGGUGAAUCCUCUGAAAAAAGGCAAAGAAAUUGCACCCGAGGAUCAAUAGUCGGAGUACUCCAAAAUUCAAACUCUUGAUACAGUGGUGAACCCUCUGAAAAAGGGCAAAGAAAUUGCACUCGAGGAUCAAUAGUCAAAGUACUCCAAAAUUCAAACUCCUGAUACAGCUCAGAAUAGUCGAUAGAUAGCUCACUUUGUUGAGGGCU